ACUGCGUGAAGAACAACGGACAGAGCGAAACGGCGUCGCACACUGGGACCUGCGAACUGUACUACACAUACGUAAAUAGCCAACUCACAACCUGCAUAGUACAAUAUGGAGCUGUGAGGGUCGUGGACCAACUCUCUCUCGCUCAGCAUAAAAACACUACAUUGUUUAUUUUCCGCAUUUACGAGUAUUUUCCACCAACAUGGAGACUACAGGCUUCUGGCUGCUACUGGCUGCACACUUUAUCCUUAUCUGCCAACAAGCUGAAGGAUAUGGAUACAGGAAUCAGCGCAAAUUUUCAGAAGACAUUGACUGGUCGUAUGCAGGAACAUUAAACCAGAACAACUGGGCCAAGAAGUUUCCAUCCUGCAGCAACGCCAAGCAGUCUCCCAUCAACAUAGAACAGAACCUGGCCCAGGUGAAACUACAGUACCAGAAGUUGAGCUUUGAUGGCUGGGAGAAUCUGACAACUAACAGAACAACAAUCAAGAACGAUGGCAAGACUGUGACCGUCAAUGUGGAUGGUGACUUUUAUGUCAGUGGAGCAGGUCUCAGGUCAAAGGUCAAGGUGGGGUGCAUCACUUUCCACUGGGGGUGCUGCAAUGCUUCUUCAGAGGGCUCAGAACAUAGUCUAAAUGGUGUCAAAUACCCUCUAGAGAUGCAAAUAUACUGUUAUGACCCACUUCGAUUUGAUUCUUUGGAUGGAAGCAUCAAGGCUGGAGGCAGAAUCACAGCACUCGCUGUUCUAUUUGAGAUAAGCACUGAAGACAACAUGAACUACGCUGCUAUAAUAGAAGGCAUCAACAGUGUGAGCAGAUAUGGAAAGAGUGCCAGGGUUUCACCCUUCACUCUGCAAGGUCUUCUGCCAAACUCCACUGAAAAAUACUUUAUCUAUAAUGGCUCUCUGACUACGCCACCUUGCAGCGAGAUUGUUGAGUGGAUCAUCUUCAAGAACACAGUAGCCAUCUCCGAUGACCAGCUGGUAAUGUUCUGUGAGGUGAUGACGAUGCAGCAGGCUGGAUAUGUGAUGCUGAUGGACUACCUGCAGAACAACUACAGGGAGCAGCAGGAGCAAUUUAUGGGUCUGGUGUUCUCCUCUUAUACGGGCACUGAGGAGAUCUUCACACGGGUCUGCAGUUCAGAACCGGAGAACAUCCAGGUGGCACCACACAACCUUAGCAGCCUGCUGGUGACAUGGGAAAGGCCACGGGCAGUGUAUGACUCCAGCAUCGAGAAGUACUCAGUCAACUACAGACUAGCUAGUACAGAGAAUGCUGUCUCAUCUGAAUACCUGACUGACGGAGACCAGGAUGUGGGUGCGAUACUUGAUGACCUCUUGGCCAACACCAGUUAUAUGAUCCAGGUUGUGGCGGUGUGCUCCAACGGUCUGUACGGACGUUCAAGCAACCCACUGAUGGUUGUCAUGCCCAUUGACAACCCUGAAAAUGCACUGGAUCCAGCUUCUUAUGAAUAUAGUAAUGAGGUCAAGUAUGAUCCAGAUCUUACCUGGGACGAAAUAGGACAAACUAAGGACUACGAUCUGGAUUGGAGUGCAACAAACUUGCAGAGGACAACAACUUCUGAAUCACCUUUUUUGCUUUUGCCUACUAUUAGAACUACAACAGUAGAGUCGGGUCACAGGAAAGUUACCAAGGAUCCAGUUCCUCCUCUUAGAUCCACUCAAUCUGGUCAAGUGUUGAGCAAUUCUGAAGAGAUGCAACAACAUAGUACCUCCAUGUGGUCACCAGAAAUGACCCUGCCACCAGAAACAAGGGGAAGAGCUAACUUCAAUGCCAAUGCUCUGUUUAAUUUAACCAAAACAACCAAAGAAAACUCACUUUAUACCACCACUGCUCCUUUACACCGCACUAUAAAAAUAGAUGGUGUUCAUGGAGGCAUUACCCUAAACGGAAAAGGCAAAAUAAAGGGAGGUAUAAGUACCACUGCUCCCACAGUCACCACUUCAAAGGCUGAUUACAUUAAUAGAGGAUUAAGUCAACAAGAUUAUUCUGGAAAAGUAAUUACCACUACUCCUACAAUUACCAGUGCAAAGACCAAAGAAGGUAAUGUUUCUCAAUCAGGCAACACUGCAACCAAUGUCAUGUCUCAUAUAAGUAAUGUGAGCAGCACAACAUCGUCUUCUACAUCCUUCAUCCAAACCAAGACUGAUCCACGUUUGUCACGCCCAACAAACAAAGACAACACCACUGAUAGAAGUCUUUCUACUAAGCCCAGGGGUAUUCCAGAGAUCCAGACAGAAAGCUCAACUUCCAAACCUUCCUCUUCACCUACCAAAACAUCUGUCCAAUUGAGCCGCAUUCUCUUGCAGACCACAAAGCCACUGUCCAAUGGUGAGAGCCUAUUUGUGUUCCCCUCAACUUCCUCCUCCUUCACCUCCUCUCCUUUGUGUGACGCCGUGGAUUCCAACUGUGCCUCUUCCACCUGCUUGCAUGAUCCUACCUCCUCUUGGCCUGUAUUGUCUCCCUUGGACUCACAGCUUACUGCUACAUCCCUGUCACCUGUCAAAGACCCAGUUUCCCAGUCUUCAGUCUUCACGCUAUCUGCCUCUACCCUGCCUUACCUCCCUCACCCCUCACACUCCCUGUCUGGUUGGGUGACUGACCCUGUCUUUCCUGGUGUUGGGUUUGAUGAUACUGAUAGCAAUGAUGAUGUGUUGUCUGGAUCUUCAAGUAAUCCCUCAGUAUUUAGCAGUACACCUCCACUCCAAGCACUUCUAGACCCGUCUGCUAUUGUUUUCACCACCAAGCUCUCUGAAUCUUCCUGGGAUCAGUCUCUCUCAGCAGCAUCUCUGUCUGUCUUCCCCACCCUAGAACCUUCAGUUCAUCUGUCUAGUAACCGCUUCCUUUUUGACCCUACCCUGGGAUUAUCUAGUUCUUUCUCAUCUGUUUUUGACAAUUCAAGAUAUGCCACAGGGAAAACAAUAGAGACUUUUCUCAAAGAGGGCAGUGGUGACAGGUUUCCAUUAGUUAGCGAUGUGCAUGCCCUGUGUGACUGCUCUUUGGAGCCAUCAGCAUCCUCCCCUUGGUUGCAUUUGUUAAAUGUUGGAUUUUCCUCCUCAGCCUGGGACUCUAUAAGUUUAGAGCUUUACUCAAGUUUGGGCUUCCUUUCAGCCACUCAUGUUGACUUUGAAAAUUUUAUACACUCUUUAUCUGUGGUGGGCUCUGAUGGUCUGUCCUUAGGUCAGCCACUGUCAUCCCGCAGUGCUAUCUUGCCUUCAUCAUCUUCUUCACACUCCCAGGUUCUCCAAGCCACCCAAAGUGACCUGCCAAUUUCUGUUGCAGCCACAGCAUCUGCCAUCAUGGAAUCCUGGUUCUCUGUAUCAUCUGUGCUAACUCCUUCACCCACAGCCUCCCCCACCACUCUCGCUUCAGAGGGACAGGUGAUAGACACCAGUACCAGUGCAUCUGGCUCAGGCCUGUUCCCCGACUCCCAGGAGGGCAUAGAUCAGGAGUGGGACAUGGUUCAAACUUCAACCUCUGGGGAGAGCAUGCUCCCUUACUCGAUGAACGUUAUUAGCAGUGCUUCCCCAUCUAACCCCUCAGAGGCUGUCCAGAACCCAGACGAUCUGGAUGAACACUCCUCAGCAUUUUAUUUUGAAAGUGAGAGUAGCAAUGCAUUGGGCUUCGAGGUAGGAGACACGACAACGGAAGCAGUAACCUCUGCUUCACAUUGGUCGCUAGGUAGGGAGGAGGGGAGCAGCUCAGGGCAGAGUGAAAGCCUCUACGACAACGAGACAUCUUCUGACUUCAGUAUCUCUGAGCACACAGAAAGGGAGUUGACAGAAGAGGAGCCAGUAGCAGAUGCUAGUAACAGCAGCCACGAGUCGAGAGUUGGUUCAAUCAGGGAACAAGAGAGGAAGGCCGUGGUUCCUUUGGCUGUCAUCUCCACCCUCACCGUCCUCGGCCUGAUUGCUCUCAUCUGUGUUCUCGUCUACUGGCGGUUGUGUUUCCAGUCGGCUCACUUUUACAUCCAUGACAGUUGCCCAACCAGAGUCAUCACAGCACCAGACACUGCUAUACCUGGUGAGCACAGGGCUUUUCCAGUGAAGGACUUUGUCAAGCAUGUUGCUGAACUUCACCACACUCAAAGCUUCAAACGAGAGUUUGAGACACUGAAGCCCAGUUACGAGGAGGCACAGAUGUGCACUGUGGACAUAGUGAUGUCUACUGACAACGCAAAUCAUCCAGACAGCAAGACUGAAAACAGACACAGCAACAAUUCGGCCUAUGAUGAUACCCAGGUACACCUCUCACUACUGGCCAACAAAAAAGGAAAAGCAAUGGAUUACAUUAACGCAAACUACGUGGAUGGUUUUAAGAAGACACGGUUGUACAUUGCUGCUCAGGGGCCUGUGAGGUCGAGCAUUGAGGACUUCUGGAGGAUGAUAUGGGAGCAGAACAUCUGCAUCAUCGUCAUGAUCAGCAACCUGGUGGAGAAAGGAUGCAGAAUAUAUGAUCAGUACUGGCCACUGGAGGUGCAGGAGGAGUACGGCAGCUUUCUCGUGACUGUGAAGAGCACUAAAGUCCUCGCCUACUACACACAGAGAACCUUCACCAUCAGAAAAAUCCAGAGUUCUCAGAAGGGGCGGGCCAAGGAGGGGGCCAAUGAGCGGACUGUGACACAGUAUCAUUACACCCAGUGGCCUGACACUGGCGUUCCAGACUUAGCUCUGCCGUUCCUCCGCUUCAUCCGCAAGUCGUCCAGAGCCAGGACAGAUGACAUGGGGCCACUGAUGGUUCACUGCAGUGCUGGUGUUGGCCGGACGGGCACAUACAUUGUCCUGGACAGCAUGCUGACGCAGAUCCAAAAUGAGGGCUCCGUCAACGUCAUGGGCUUCCUUAAACACAUUCAAACUCAGAGGAAAUGCCUGGUGCAGACAGAGGAACAGUAUGUUUUUAUCCACAAUGCCCUGGUGGAAGCCAUCUUGUCUGGUGAGACAGAGGUGGCAUUGGCUCAACUGCAUACGUACGUGGACAAGCUGAUGACCCCAGGGCCUGAUGGAGGAACAGGGAUGGACAAACAGUUCAAGAUGGUUUGUUACACCAAUCUGAAGCACUGUGACUAUUCCACAGCUCUGCAGGACUGCAACCACAACAAGAACAGAAACUGCUCGGUGAUACCCAUUGAGAGGUCACGAGUGCAUUUGCCGACAACAGCAGGGGAAACAUCAGACUACAUUAAUGCAUCAUAUAUCGCAGGUUACAGGCACACCAAGGAGUUCAUCAUUACCCAGAAACCCUUGCCUGUCACUGUAAAGGACUUCUGGACAAUGAUAUGGGACCACAAUGCCCAAGUCAUUUUGUCACUGCCUGGGAUGGAGGAAGAAGCAGAGCCAUUUGUUUUCUGGCCUUAUAAAGGGCAGCUGAUCAGCUAUGAGAUGUUCACUGUCACUCAAAAGAGUGAGACUCAUGUUUGUCUGUCCAAUGAGGACCUGCUGGUAGUUCAGGACUACAUACUGAAAGCUACAAAGGAUGACUACGUUCUUGAGGUGAGACACUAUCGUGCUCCCAACUGGCCAAACCCAGACAGUCCCCUCACUUCCACCUUUGAGCUUCUCAAACUGAUGAAGGAAGAGAUCCUCACAAAGGACAGCCCUACUGUGGUCCACGAUAAUGUGGGUGGGUUUACAGCAGGACUGUUCUGUGCUCUUUCGUCUCUGACUCGCCAGUUGGAUGCCGAAGCGUCAGUGGAUGUCUUCCAAGUAGCCAGGCUGAUGAAUCUCAUGAGACCUGGAACCUUCAACAACAUCGAGCAGUACCAGUUCUUGUACAAAGCCAUGCUGAGUCUCAUCGGGACACAAGAAGACGAGAAAACUCAGUCCUUUGACGCUAACGGGACCAUCGUGACGGAAACCACCAGCACGGCUGAAAGCAUUGAAUCCCUGGUGCCAACGAAUAAAUAAAACCAACAAAAAAAUACUACACUUUUACAAAUGAGCAACAGCAUUUCGUCCCUUCCCUGAAACCACCAACAGAGCUGCUAGUGAAUCCAGACUCUCGCUACAAUCACUCAAGAAAUCUUGUCAUUCAAGACUCUGCCUUUUGUAGAUUGAGACUGCUAUAAAGGAAUCGCUGCUGGCUUAUUAGCUAAGGGAUUAAAUAAGGGAAGGAACACCAAAGAGAGCCUGUGAGAGUGUUUUGUUACUGUGUGUUGAACCACAAAUAUACCUGCAAAGAUGCAACAGACACAUGAACUAUUAGAGGUUUGCUCAGAAGUUAGUUAAAUACACUGUUUUGCAUACAAGUGAUGUUGGAAAUUUCCAAUUUAAACAUUUGGUACCAAGAUGAUGUAUUAAGUCCAUUGUAGGCAGCAAUUUGCAAAAUUGUAGAUUAGCAGAAUGAGUUUCAGCUCAUUAAUAUGCAGCCUUACAGAGAACCAACAGGAGGCAGGUCAAAGGUCACAAGGUCCAGACAAAAGGAAAAAAAAUGAGGAGAAACGGCCUUCUGUGAGCCUGACAGGGGAGAGAUGUUACUGAAUCAAGAAACACCGAAAAUGGAGACAUACCCAAUUCCAUUUCUAAUGAUGAUUCUUGUCUGUGGAUUAUACAAUUCCCUUAACAGAGUCAUGGACUAAUCCCUGGUUAUUUCAGUUGAUUUUUGCAUGUGUUAAUCCAGGCUAAGACACUGUAAGAAAUGUGCCUUUUCAGGACAGAAAAUAGGUCACUGUCCAGACGUAUCCACACUUUAAUUUGCAUUUUUGACUUUUCAUGAAUACAAACUUAAUUGUUCUCUGCUUGGUGCCCUACUUUAUAUAACUGCCUUUAAAUCAAGAAGGAGCAAAAAUGCUGAUCAUCUUUUUCUGAAGAGUUGAGCUCAACUAAUUAAGUGAUCAGAACCAUGUCACAAAUAUAAGGUCACAAAAAGCAAUACAGGUGCAAAAGUUUGUAAUACGCAAUAACUGUUUUUAAUAUCUUAAAGCUUUGUGCUGACAAAUACCAGCCAUAAUUAUAAACAUGUACAUACUGUGUAUUGAUGCAAAAAAAAUUGUGUGCUGCAGCCUUUAUCAUCAUUUGGCCUCUUUUGGUGUCAAGAUGAUGUAUUAAGUCCAUUCUAGGCACCAAUUAGCAAAACGGUAGAUUAGCAGAAUGAUUUUCAGCUCACUGAUUAUCCAGCCUUACAGGGAACCAAUGGGAGGUAGAUAAGUAAUCAAUAAAAAGAUAAGUAAGGGAGAACUAGUGCGUGAAAUGGACAAAUCUGUGGAAAGUUCUGAAGAUAACAAGGAAACUGUGAUUGCAGCUGUAGACCGUCAUAAUUCUCUUCCAUUUGGGUCUGUGGGUUAUAUGUUCCUGUUGUGGUUGGGAAGUGAAGGACUAUAGCAUAAUAACAAUUAUAUUUAUUAUAUUGUGCAUUUUAGGACACAGUAUAAGGUACGUCUGUGUGUUUUUGAAUUUUGCUGGUAGUGCACUUCAUUCAUGAUUCAUUUCUAUUGGAAUUUAAUUCAAAUCUUCAUUCUGAGCUUUCUCAACAAAUUCUAUUGAAUAUAAUGAUAUCCCUAAAAUUCAUUAAAAAAAAUCAUCCUGGCUAGUUGACAUUAAAUUCUCAGUGGAUGGAUUCUCAAUUGAUUUAAAUGUUAGCGCAUUUGCAAUUAAAUUAUUGCACUGUUUGCACUAAGAUCCAAGCAUUACGAACACCAAGGCCUUAAAGCUACAACACCAAUGAAUAAGGAACUCUUGUGGAGAAAAGGUCUUCUGCAAAAUGUUGGAAGCUUAAAAAAUGCUCAGAAUGGAGGAAAAGAUUCAGUUUACCCAAAUACCUUGCAAACAAGAGAAUUCCACCUACCUGCACGGCUUUGCUAUCAACAUGGCUGAAUUUGAUGGAUUCUGUAGUGCUCUAAGCUUAAAAAUAAAAUUAAAAAAAGCUUAAAAAAUAAAAAAGGUCAGUUAUGGAUAGAGUAAAAAUUCAACGAAGAAAUUAAAAAAAAUCAGACUAUUACAUUUAUAAUUUAAAUGUGACAAUCCGAAUCUAUAAAUAAUGAAUGAGAAAUACUUCACAUAAUAAUUUUAUUCAUGCAACCAUUAUUUUAUAAAGCAAAAUAUCAGAACCAUCUGAUUGUUUUUUACUAAUCAAAUCUUUGAUUAUUGUGAAGGUCAAUCAAAAAGACAAAUAAAAACCAUUUUUUAUUAUUCAGUGUCAUAUUCUCUGUUACUAACAGAUUUAACAUGAACACAUGAAACUGAACCACCUUAAAAAUACCACCUAAAAAUACCAUGUGGUACUUCUAGCUCGCACUACAGAGGACGAGCGACUCUAAAUCUUAAACAUUGCAUGUUGUGGCUCCAUGCACCAUAGGAAACAUGGUAAACCAUUAAAACUGAUCUUAUAGUAUGUAUCUCUCUCUCUCUUUCUCUCUCUACACACACACACACACACACACACACACACACACACACACACACAUCUGCCUGUGGAACACUACUUUAACUACUGAUUAUACUCACUUUUCUGUUUAGGUUUAGAGAAAAAAACAAACAAUAAAAAAACAUAAAACAUGUCAUUUAGUGUAUUGUCUGAUAGUAACGUCUAAUUUAACAAGAACACAUGAAACCGAAUCACAUUAAAAAUGACAAUCUGAGUUUGCUGUGGAUGCAAAAUCAAAGUUCUACAGGCCAAACAACAAAAUGCUGUUUUUAAAGCCUUGUCAACACCUAUCACUAACACAAAUAUAUAAUAGACACAAAUAUCUCUCAGGUCAAUGUGAAAUCUACCUACCUUAAAGGAAGACCUCUGCUGCUGAGGAUAAAUUCAUCCGAAUCACCAGCCUCAGAAAUCACAAGUUAACAGCAUCUCAGAUUAGAGCCCAGAUAAAUGCCACACAGCAGACACAUCUCUACAUCAACUGUUCAAAGGAGACUAUACGAUUCAGGCAUUUAUGGUCAAAUGAAACCUCUACCAAGGAAAAGCAACAAGCAGAAGAGAUUUGUUUGGGCCAAGAAACACAAGGAAUGGACAUUAGACCAGUGGAAAUCUGUGCUUUGGUCUGAUGAGUCCAAAUUUGAGAUCUUUGGUUCCACCAGCCGUGUCUUUGUGCGACACAGAAAAGGUGAGUGGAUAUUCUCUACAUGCAUGAUUCAAACAGUGAAGCAUGGAGGAAGUGUGAUGGUGUGGGGGUGCUUUGCUGGUGACACUGUUGGGGAUUUAUUCAAAAUUGAAGGCACACUGAACCAGCAUGGCUACCACAGCAUCCUACAGCAACAUGCCAUCCCAUCCAGUUUGUGUUUAGUUGGACCGUCAUUUAUUUUCCAACAGCAAAGUGACCCCAAACACACCUCCAGGCUGUGUAAGGGCUGUUUGACCAAGAAGGCGAGUGAUGGAGUGCUGCGCCUGAUGGCCUGGCCUCCAUAGUCACAGUCGUCUGAAAAUGCUCCAGGUCCACACUCUCGUUUUCAGUCGUUUUCACAGAGUUGUGCGUCCACAUUGAAAUGCCUGAAAACGCUUACGUUCCAGUACUGUGCAUGCGUGAAACGCAAGACGAUUCGGCCUGCCUCAUUUCUGUCAGCCAUUUAUUUACUUUCCAGCUCUUUGAAACAUCGCGGCAAAAUGUCUAAGAAAAGCACCGAGUUUUUUAAUUGGAUUAACAAUGAGGUGGAGUUGUUGCUGCGAGUAACACAAAAGUACAAAGUUGCAAAAGCGAGUGAGAGUUAAAGAAUUUGAAGAAAAGCUAUCUGGAGCAUGUACAAACUGAUAUUAAUCUUUAAUAGGGCUGUCAAAAUUGAGAGCAAACAAAGCAACUGCUGUGUAAUGCCCUCCGCUAUCUUUAUUUAAUUGGUCACUUAACUGCAUCACAUGAAGUCCUGUAGUGACUUCACUUAGCACUAAGCUUGUGACUCCUUGAAGCUGGAUUUGUGUGUACUCCCAGUUUCAAGCAGAGAUCUUUCUUGUGUAAGUUGAAUGUGUUAACCACUACACGAAGUUCUCACUAGUCUUUUGACUCUAAUGGGGGACAAAAUUUACAAAAUCUGCUUCAUGUUACUUUCAAUAACUACCGACUGUUAUCAGUCAGUAAAGUGUUCGCUGAGGUCACAGGAGGGUAAUUCUAGACUUCAAUAGAAUCACACACAAAAAGAGGAGUUGCCCUCUGGCAGCCAUUAGAAAGAAUGCAGGAUAAAGGCACUUGGCACUGAAUUUAACACCUCCACCAAGCCUGAAAUGGAAUGAAAGAACAGUUGUCAAGGUAACAACCACA